rnacentral:rRNA from 1 species
UGAACGCUGGCGGCGUGCCUAAUACAUGCAAGUCGAACGGGAAGACCAAUUUCGAUUGGUUGGAGAGUGGCGCACGGGUGAGUAACACGUAGCUAACCUGCCCUGAAGACCGGGAUAACGCCUCGAAAGGGGUGCUAAUACCGGAUAAGCUCACGUUAAGUAGGUAGAUGUGAGAAAAAGUUCAGGCGCUUUGGGAGGGGGCUGCGGCCCAUCAGGUAGUUGGUAGGGUAACGGCCUACCAAGCCGAUGACGGGUAGGGGACCUGAGAGGGUGACCCCCCACACUGGGACUGAGACACGGCCCAGACUCCUACGGGAGGCAGCAGUAAGGAAUAUUGCACAAUGGGCGCAAGCCUGAUGCAGCGACGCCGCGUGGGUGAAGAAGGUUUUCGGAUCGUAAAGCCCUUUUCUGCGUGACGAGGAAGGACGGUAGCGCAGGAAUAAGUCGCGGCUAACUAC